rnacentral:misc_RNA from 1 species
CCGAAACCAUAAAUUUGUUUUCUCCAACAAUCUGCAGCACAAUCACCUAACUCAUUAACAAGAAUUCAAGGAAUGAGUAAGUGGUGAAGCUAAGUUUCAACCUGUUCUACACUAAAAUUUUUAUUCUUUCUUGGUUUAGAACAAACUUCUUGUUAUAUUACCAUUUCAUUGAAUAGCAACUUUCUUACAAAACUUUGCUAUGAAGAACCUAUUUAGAUUCGUCUUCUAAUUUCAGAAAUGAAUCAUGCCUGUCCAAUUCAUCAUCACAUGCUAAUUCAAUGAAUACAUCACAGAACAGAGAUUUUG